CCUACGGGAGGCAGCAGUAAGGAAUAUUGGUCAAUGGACGCAAGUCUGAACCAGCCAUGCCGCGUGGAGGAUGAAGGUCCUCUGGAUUGUAAACUUCUUUUAUUUGGGAAGAAACCCACGAUUUCUAUUGUGGUUGACGGUACCAGAUGAAUAAGCACCGGCUAACUCCGUGCCAGCAGCCGCGGUAAUACGGAGGGUGCAAGCGUUAUCCGGAUUCACUGGGUUUAAAGGGUGCGUAGGCGGGCAGGUAAGUCAGUGGUGAAAUCUCCGAGCUUAACUUGGAAACUGCCGUUGAUACUAUCUGUCUUGAAUGCUGUGGAGGUAAGCGGAAUAUGUCAUGUAGCGGUGAAAUGCUUAGAUAUGACAUAGAACACCUAUUGCGAAGGCAGCUUGCCACACAGAAAUUGACGCUGAGGCACGAAAGCGUGGGGAUCAAACAGGAUUAGAUACCCUGGUAGUCCACGCCCUAAACGAUGGAUACUCAACAUCAGCGAUACACAGUUGGUGUCUGAGNGAAGACAUAAGUAUCCACCNGGAGACGACCGACGAGUAGAACGUACGAAGAGUAGUAGACGAGAGAGAGCGACGGACGGACGACGACGGAGGGAGGAGG
rnacentral:rRNA from 1 species